UGGGGAAUUUUGGACAAUGGGCGCAAGCCUGAUCCAGCCAUUCCGCGUGAGUGAAGAAGGCCUUCGGGUCGUAAAGCUCUUUCGGCAGGAACGAAAAGGUUAGGGUGAAUAAUUCUAAUUGAUGACGGUACCUGAAGAAGAAGCACCGGCUAACUACGUGCCAGCAGCCGCGGUAAUACGUAGGGUGCGAGCGUUAAUCGGAAUUACUGGGCGUAAAGGGUGCGCAGGUGGUUAUUUAAGACAGAUGUGAAAUCCCCGGGCUCAACCUGGGAACUGCGUUUGUGACUGGAUAGCUAGAGUGCGGCAGAGGGGGGUAGAAUUCCACGUGUAGCAGUGAAAUGCGUAGAGAUGUGGAGGAACACCGAUGGCGAAGGCAGCCCCCUGGGUCAACACUGACGCUCAUGCACGAAAGCGUGGGGAGCAAACAGG
rnacentral:rRNA from 1 species